AGGUCUUGGCAACCUUUGAAAUUCCAAUUCCAUUUGCGAGAGCUUUGAGGAGGCCAUAUGCUGAUUUUACCACCAGCAACUUCACAACCCAGUACUGGAAUGCCAUCAGCCAGCAGGCCCCUGCCAUCAUCUGUGACUUCUAUCUGUGGCUCACUGGAAGGAAACCCAGCUACCGAAGGAAGAUACCCUCAUCAACCCAAUUUUACAAAUGGAGAAAUAGAAGCUAAGGGAAGAAUCUGAAGUAGUCUCAAAGGCAGUGACAGGAAGGAUGUGGAGAAAGCUGAGUGUCAAAGUCAGUAUUCAUGACUAGAUUUACUGCUACUUAGAGAUGAAUGAAGAAAUCAGAGGGAACGCAGUGUGCUGAUGCUAAAGCAGCUGUCACCACUCAGCUGUGUGACAUAGGACAUCUU
rnacentral:lncRNA from 10 species